CGCGCGGCGAGUUUACCUCGGUUCACCUCCCGGCAACCGGCGGCCCGGAUAUUAUCAGAUGCUGUGGGCUUCCCGGCGCCUCAUUGCCCGAGGAGAGGCGGCCGCAGGUAGCUGAGCUGGAGCUAGCACAAGUUGAAUUCACCAAAUAGAAGACACUGGAAAUGAGACCCGAGGGUUGGAGGAGGAGGAAGUUGCUGAUGGGAAGGCAGAAAAGUACAAUGGAAACAGCAUGGGCUCCAGGAAGUCAGCUCUACCACUGACUGGCUGUGUGAUUUUUGGCCUGCAAUGUGAACACGAUGGCUGGAGCUCCGGCAGCCAUUCUGGGCCAGGAGGUAGCCUUGAAGAUGGAAGCCACAUGUUGGGAUGGUGAAUCCAAAAGAUGAGGAGCCUGUAUCCCCUGUGACACCAGAGCUGCCAUACCAGCCCUGGGUUCCUCCAUCUAUACUGCCUUCAUAUGGUAAAGAAAUAUUCUUGGAUCUUGUUAGGUGUCUGUUGCAGCCAAACACAAUCCCAACUGAUAUUCACUGUAAAUGAUUCCAUGGCUCCCUGUAGUACUUUUACAAAGCAUCUAUCACAAUUGUAAUUAAUAAAAUAAUUAUGCAAUUACUGGUUUAAUGCCUAA